UACGUAGGCAGCGAGCGUUGUUCGGAGUUACUGGGCGUAAAGGGUGUGUAGGCGGUUGUUUAAGUUUGGUGUGAAAUCUCCCGGCUCAACUGGGAGGGUGCGCCGAAUACUGAAUGACUAGAGUGCGGGAGAGGAAAGUGGAAUUCCUGGUGUAGCGGUGAAAUGCGUAGAUAUCAGGAGGAACACCGGUGGUGUAGACGGCUUCUGGACCGUAACUGACGCUGAGACGCGAAAGCGUGGGAGCGAACAGG
rnacentral:rRNA from 1 species